GGAAAAAGUAACAAAAAAACCCAAAAUUUUAAACCAGAGCUCUUACUGUUUGUAAGCUCUCAUAGCCAAGCUCCCCAUCCAGGAAACAUAUGACACAAACGAUCAGCAUCAAUGGCGUCGUGUAUGAGUUGUUGAACCUGUCCAUGAACGCUUCUCAUUUCACCUUCUUCAUAUCCAUCUAACUUUUGUUUAACACGCAUCAAGGCUCUAGCAGCAUCCUUGUUCCCCUCAUAGUCAUCUUGUUGAGAGUCUUCCAAACUGGUUUCCAGAUCAUCAUCA
rnacentral:misc_RNA from 1 species